rnacentral:rRNA from 1 species
AACAAACGCUGGCGGCGUGCCUAAUACAUGCAAGUCGAACGGGUAGCAAUACCAGUGGCGCACGGGUGAGGAAUACAUAGAUAAUCUGCCUUCGAGUCGGGGAUAACCAGUCGAAAGAUUGGCUAAUACCGGAUAAGACCACAGGAGCUGAGGCUCUAGGGGUUAAAGGUUUUUCGCUUGCAGAUGAGUCUAUGCGAGAUUAGCUAGUUGGUGAGGUAAUGGCUCACCAAGGCGACGAUCUCUAACUGGUCUUAGAGGAUGAUCAGUCACACUGGAACUGAGACACGGUCCAGACUCCUACGGGAGGCAGCAGUAGGGAAUAUUGCGCAAUGGGGGAAACCCUGACGCAGCGACGCCGCGUGAGUGAUGAAGGCCUUCGGGUCGUAAAGCUCUGUCGUAUGGGAAUAACACAAUGAAUGUACCAUGCAAGAAAGGAUCGGCUAACUUCGUGCCAGCCGCCGCCGUAAAAC